UCAGGAUGAACGCUGGCGGCGUGCUUAACACAUGCAAGUCGAACGAAGCACCUCUAAUCGAAGAUUGAGAAAGCUUGCUUUGAUUGAUUCACCUGAGGUGACUGAGUGGCGGACGGGUGAGUAACGCGUGGGUAACCUACCCUAUACAGGGGGAUAACAGUUGGAAACGACUGCUAAUACCGCAUAAGCGCACGAGGACCGCAUGGUCUAGUGUGAAAAAACUCCGGUGGUAUAGGAUGGACCCGCGUCUGAUUAGCUAGUUGGUGAGGUAACGGCUCACCAAGGCGACGAUCAGUAGCCGACCUGAGAGGGUGACCGGCCACAUUGGGACUGAGACACGGCCCAAACUCCUACGGGAGGCAGCAGUGGGGAAUAUUGCACAAUGGGCGAAAGCCUGAAUGCAGCGACGCCGCGUGAACGAGAAGUAUUUCGGUAUGUAAAGUUCUAUCAGCAGGGAAGAAAAAUGACGGUACCUGACUAAGAAGCUCCGGCUAAAUACGUGCCAGCCGCGGC
rnacentral:rRNA from 1 species